rnacentral:rRNA from 1 species
GAUGAACGCUGGCGGCGUGCCUAAUACAUGCCAGUCGAGCGAACAGACGAGGAGCUUGCUCCUUUGACGUUAGCGGCGGACGGGUGAGUAACACGUAGGUAACCUACCUAUAAGACUGGGAUAACUUCGGGAAACCGGAGCUAAUACCGGAUAAUAUUUCGAACCGCAUUGUUCGAUAGUGAAAGAUGGCUUUGCUAUCACUUAUAGAUGGACCUGCGCCGUAUUAGCUAGUUGGUAAGGUAACGGCUUACCAAGGCAACGAUACGUAGCCGACCUGAGAGGGUGAUCGGCCACACUGGAACUGAGACACGGUCCAGACUCCUACGGGAGGCAGCAGUAGGGAAUCUUCCGCAAUGGGCGAAAGCCUGACGGAGCAACGCCGCGUGAGUGAUGAAGGUCUUCGGAUCGUAAAACUCUGUUAUUAGGGAAGAACAAACGUGUAAGUAACUGUGCACGUCUUGACGGUACCUAAUCAGAAAGCCACGGCUAACUACGUG